rnacentral:rRNA from 1 species
AUUGAACGCUGGCGGCAGGCCUAACACAUGCCAGUCGAGCGGAUGAAGGGAGCUUGCUCCUGGAUUCAGCGGCGGACGGGUGAGUAAUGCCUAGGAAUCUGCCUGGUAGGGGGGGAUAACGUCCGGAAACGGGCGCUAAUACCGCAUACGUCCUGAGGGAGAAAGUGGGGGACCUUCGGACCUCACGCAACAAGAUGACCCUAGGUCGGAUUAGCUAGUUGGUGGGGUAAAGGCCUACCAAGGCGACGAUCCGUAACUGGUCUGAGAGGAUGAUCAGUCACACUGGAACUGAGACACGGUCCAGACUCCUACGGGAGGCAGCAGUGGGGAAUAUUGGACAAUGGGCGAAAGCCUGAUCCAGCCAUGCCGCGUGUGUGAAGAAGGUCUUCGGAUUGUAAAGCACUUUAAGUUGGGAGGAAGGGCAGUAAGUUAAUACCUUGCUGUUUUGACGUUACCAACAGAAUAAGCACCGGCUAACUUCGUG